rnacentral:tRNA from 1 species
GCCGUAUUCGCUCAGUGGCAGAGCACCGGUCUCCAAAACUGGAAGCGGGAGGUUCGAUGCCUCCAGACGGUGCCA